AGUGAACGCUGGCGGUAGGCCUAACACAUGCAAGUCGAACGGCAGCACAGUAAGAGCUUGCUCUUACGGGUGGCGAGUGGCGGACGGGUGAGGAAUACAUCGGAAUCUACUUUUUCGUGGGGGAUAACGUAGGGAAACUUACGCUAAUACCGCAUACGACCUACGGGUGAAAGCAGGGGAUCUUCGGACCUUGCGCGAUUGAAUGAGCCGAUGUCGGAUUAGCUAGUUGGCGGGGUAAAGGCCCACCAAGGCGACGAUCCGUAGCUGGUCUGAGAGGAUGAUAACCCACACUGGAAAGGGAAAAGGGGACAAACCCCAAGGGGGGGAAGCAGUGGGGAAUAUGGGAAAAGGGGGGAAAGCCCGAUCAAGCAAUACCGGGUGGGUGAAGAAGGCUUUGGGGUUGUAAAGCCCUUUUUUUGGGAAAAAAAAGCAGAAGGUUAAAACCCCGCUGUUCUGACGGUACCAAAAGAAUAAGCAACGGAAAACUUGGU
rnacentral:rRNA from 1 species